CCGAGUUUUGCCUCUCUCACUGGCAGCAACCCAGCGCUUCCAUUGCUGACCUCUACCGACCUCUACCUGUGGUCCUUCCUCUACUGCAGCAGAGACACUGUUUUCUUCCUUUGUUCUUCCAACCCCAUGGCACAGAAACACUCUCCACUGCGGCCAAGGAUUGCAGGAGAGGUGGCAUCAGUGAUUCAAGACUUCUUUUCCUACCUCUUCAGUGUUUCUUUCAGUGAUCUGAAGUUAAAGCCAGGGGGAAUAUCACAGAAGUGAAGUGCAAUUCUCAUCAUGUCAUAUCAAGAGCACACACUAACAAACAACAUGACUUAUUGCUGAAUAUUGAACUUGAUCACCUGGCUGAGGUAGUGUUUGCCAGAUUUCUCUGUAAAGGUA
rnacentral:lncRNA from 10 species